rnacentral:lncRNA from 1 species
UUAUGGUGAUCUCACAUCAUCUAUGUCGUUCAUCUUCUCUUUCAGAUUUGGCUGACCACCUUUGGCUCUCCACCUUUCAUCAGGAGAGAGGAAUAACAAAAAGAACCUCUUGCAAACCGUUUUGAAACCAUUUCCCAGCAUUAUUGCAAUGAAAUGAAUGGGAAGGCUUGCAGAGAGGAACAGGAUUUGCCUCUGCAGCAUCAGGGAGAGAAAGGAUGGGACCAGAUCCAAACCACAGCACUGAUGAUCAAGACAGGCAGCAGUGCUUGGAACAGAAGGAGGAUCGACAGCCUUUGCAGCUUCAUGGGGAGAGGAGCUGUUCUGCAAAGUGACAAGGAGCCUGAGCAAGCUGAGGAUGAGCCUAAUGAGCAAAUGGAGGCAGAAGACAGUGAUUUCCAUGAGGCCCGGUGGGGUCUGUUUAUUUGAGUCAGGAUCUUUAAUGAGCAGCUUGCUGCAGCUAUGGUUAUUGUCAGCACCUGUAUCUGUCGCUGCUUAUUUGGGAUUUCAGUUCAAACUGCUCCUGGAAAUAGGAUUUGGCUUUACAGUCAGGGUUUGAAAUUACUCUUACAUAUUACAACCUUGUACCAUCUUUUCAGAUCCUCAGCAAGAGUUAGGGGUUGUAGUGACAAAGG